rnacentral:rRNA from 1 species
UGGGGAAUUUUGGACAAUGGGGGAAACCCUGAUCCAGCCAUCCCGCGUGUGCGAUGAAGGCCUUCGGGUUGUAAAGCACUUUUGGCAGGAAAGAAACGUCGUGGGUUAAUACCCCGCGAAACUGACGGUACCUGCAGAAUAAGCACCGGCUAACUACGUGCCAGCAGCCGCGGUAAUACGUAGGGUGCAAGCGUUAAUCGGAAUUACUGGGCGUAAAGCGUGCGCAGGCGGUUCGGAAAGAAAGAUGUGAAAUCCCAGAGCUUAACUUUGGAACUGCAUUUUUAACUACCGGGCUAGAGUGUGUCAGAGGGAGGUGGAAUUCCGCGUGUAGCAGUGAAAUGCGUAGAUAUGCGGAGGAACACCGAUGGCGAAGGCAGCCUCCUGGGAUAACACUGACGCUCAUGCACGAAAGCGUGGGGAGCAAACAGGAUUAGAUACCCUGGUAGUCCACGCCCUAAACGAUGUCAACUAGCUGUUGGGGUCUUCGGACCUUGGUAGCGCAGCUAACGCGUGAAGCUGACCGCCUGGGGAGUACGGUCGCAAGAUUAAAACUCAAA